GAUGUGGUGCAGAGGUUAGGCAGUCAUCUGCCUGCCACGCAGAAGGUUCCGGGUUCAAUUCCCGGUGGGGUCA